rnacentral:rRNA from 1 species
CAAUCUCAGUUCGGAUUGUAGGCUGCAACUCGCCUACAUGAAGUCGGAAUCGCUAGUAAUCGCGGAUCAGCACGCCGCGGUGAAUACGUUCCCGGGCCUUGUACACACCGCCCGUCACACCACGAGAGUUUGUAACACCCGAAGUCGGUGAGGUAACCUAUUAGGAGCCAGCCGCCUAAGGUGGGAUAGAUGAUUGGGGUGAAGUCGUAACAAGGUAGCCGUAUCGGAAGGUGCGGCUGGAUCACCUCCUUUCUAAGGAA